UGGGGAAUUUUGGACAAUGGGCGAAAGCCUGAUCCAGCAAUGCCGCGUGUGUGAAGAAGGCCUUCGGGUUGUAAAGCACUUUUGUCCGGAAAGAAAUGGCUCUGGUUAAUACCUGGGGUCGAUGACGGUACCGGAAGAAUAAGGACCGGCUAACUACGUGCCAGCAGCCGCGGUAAUAAGUAGGGUCCAAGCGUUAAUCGGAAUUACUGGGCGUAAAGCGUGCGCAGGCGGUUGUGCAAGACAGAUGUGAAAUCCCCGAGCUUAACUUGGGAAUUGCAUUGGUGACUGCACGGCUAGAGUGUGUCAGAGGGGGGUAGAAUUCCACGUGUAGCAGUGAAAUGCGUAGAGAUGUGGAGGAAUACCGAUGGCGAAGGCAGCCCCCUGGGAUAACACUGACGCUCAUGCACGAAAGCGUGGGGAGCAAACAGG
rnacentral:rRNA from 1 species